UGAGGAAUAUUGGGCAAUGGAGGCAACUCUGACCCAGCUAUGCCGCGUGCAGGAAGACGGCCCUCUGGGUUGUAAACUGCUUUUGUUUGGGAAUAAACCCUUCUACGUGUAGGAGGCUGAAGGUACCUUACGAAUAAGCAUCGGCUAACUCCGUGCCAGCAGCCGCGGUAAUACGGAGGAUGCAAGCGUUAUCCGGAUUUAUUGGGUUUAAAGGGUCCGUAGGCGGAUUUUUAAGUCAGUGGUGAAAGCCCACAGCUCAACUGUGGAACUGCCAUUGAUACUGGAGAUCUUGAGUGUAGUAGAAGUAGGCGGAAUAGGGCAUGUAGCGGUGAAAUGCAUAGAUAUGCCCUAGAACACCGAUUGCGAAGGCAGCUUACUAUGUUACAACUGACGCUGAGGGACGAAAGCGCGGGGAGCAAACAGGAUUAGAUACCCUGGUAGUCCACGCUGUAAACGAUGAUUACUCGCUGUUGGCGACAUACAGUCAGCGGCCAAGCGAAAGCAUUAAGUAAUCCACCUGGGGAGUACGCCGGCAACGGUGAAACUCAAAGGAAUUGACGGGGGCCCGCACAAGCGGUGGAGCAUGUGGUUUAAUUCGAUGAUACGCGAGGAACCUUACC
rnacentral:rRNA from 1 species